rnacentral:lncRNA from 1 species
GCACUGGUCUCUUGUUGGAAAAGAGAAAUCUUCACCACAAUUGGCAGUAAAACCAUGUUUCCGGAAGGGCAUUCGCUUCAUUCUAGCAUCCGACCUUAACUCUGGAGAUCUACUGUGCCUUCUUCUGGUGCUAAAGUUUCGCUCUCUGGGUGCAUGCCAUGGAUGGGGAGAAGGCGUUCUAGAUCUUGAACGAGAUCUCCUUCUGGACAUCGGAAUCCGAGCAACUCUACCUGAAGCUGGAGAACCGGUUCUUUCACCCCGGGGUAAAUAAGAAGGCAUGCGUACAGAAGACAAAUUACC